UACGGAGGGGGCAAGCGUUGUUCGGAAUCAUUGGGCGUAAAGGGCGCGUAGGCGGCCGAUCAAGUCGGGUGUGAAAUCCCUCGGCUCAACCGAGGAACUGCACUCGAUACUGCUCGGCUAGAGUCCGGGAGGGGAUGGUGGAAUUCCCAGUGUAGCGGUGAAAUGCGUAGAUAUCCGGAGGAACACCAGGGGCGAAAGCGGUCGACUGGCUGAGUGCUGACGCUGAGGCGCGAAGGCGUGGGGAGCAAACCGG
rnacentral:rRNA from 1 species